AGGCCUAACACAUGCAAGUCGAGGGGCAGCAUGGUCUUAGCUUGCUAAGGCCGAUGGCGACCGGCGCACGGGUGAGUAACGCGUAUCCAACCUGCCUUACACUCUUGGACAGCCUUCUGAAAGGGAGAUUAAUACAAGAUGUUAUCAUGAGUAAGCAUUUUCGCAUGAUUAAAGGUUUACCGGUGUAAGAUGGGGAUGCGUUCCAUUAGAUAGUAGGCGGGGUAACGGCCCACCUAGUCUUCGAUGGAUAGGGGUUCUGAGAGGAAGGUCCCCCACAUUGGAACUGAGACACGGUCCAAACUCCUACGGGAGGCAGCAGUGAGGAAUAUUGGUCAAUGGACGAGAGUCUGAACCAGCCAAGUAGCGUGAAGGAUGAAGGUUCUAUGGAUUGUAAACUUCUUUUAUACGGGAAUAAACGGAUCCACGCGUGGAUUUUUGCAUGUACCGUAUGAAUAAGGAUCGGCUAACUCCGUGCCAGCAGCCGCGGUAAUACGGAGGAUCCGAGCGUUAUCCGGAUUUAUUGGGUUUAAAGGGAGCGUAGAUGGGUUGUUAAGUCAGUUGUGAAAGUUUGCGGCUCAACCGUAAAAUUGCAAUUGAUACUGGCAGUCUUGAGUACAGUUGAGGUAGGCGGAAUUCGUGGUGUAGCGGUGAAAUGCUUAGAUAUCACGAAGAACUCCGAUUGCGAAGGCAGCUUACUAACCUGUAACUGACAUUGAUGCUCGAAAGUGUGGGUAUCAAACAGGAUUAGAUACCCUGGUAGUCCACACGGUAAACGAUGAAUACUCGCUGUAGGCGAUAUACAGUCUGCGGCCAAGCGAAAGCAUUAAGUAUUCCACCUGGGGAGUACGCCGGCAACGGUGAAACUCAAAGGAAUUGACGGGGGCCCGCACAAGCGGAGGAACAUGUGGUUUAAUUCGAUGAUACGCGAGGAACCUUACCCGGGCUUAAAUUGCAACCGAAUAUGGCGGAAACGCUAUAGCUAGCAAUAGCGGUUGUGAAGGUGCUGCAUGGUUGUCGUCAGCUCGUGCCGUGAGGUGUCGGCUUAAGUGCCAUAACGAGCGCAACCCUUGCCGAUAGUUACUAACAGGUUAUGCUGAGGACUCUGUCGGGACUGCCAUCGUAAGAUGUGAGGAAGGUGGGGAUGACGUCAAAUCAGCACGGCCCUUACGUCCGGGGCUACACACGUGUUACAAUGGGGGGUACAGAGGGCUGCUACCACGCAAGUGGAUGCCAAUCCCAAAAACCUCUCUCAGUUCGGAUUGAAGUCUGCAACCCGACUUCAUGAAGCUGGAUUCGCUAGUAAUCGCGCAUCAGCCACGGCGCGGUGAAUACGUUCCCGGGCCUUGUACACACCGCCCGUC
rnacentral:rRNA from 1 species